UCCUUUCUUUUUGCUACAAGGAAUGAACUUAGAAGCUAGUUGGUCGGUGAAAGGAUUGGCUGCUCACAUUCUCAUUUUCCAGCAGUGGAAACCUUGUGGACCCUGAGCAUGUGGGCUCUGGGCAGAGCCCACGGCGCUGACAGUGGGGAGAAGGAGACAGGGGAAGCAGAAGCUGCUUGCACUGGGUCCUUUGCGUUCAGCCCCUUCCCAGAUUGGAGCGCUUUCCUUUCAGACCUGUACAAAGGUUGGAUG